CCUACGGGGUGCAGCAGUGAGGAAUAUUGGUCAAUGGGCGGGAGCCUGAACCAGCCAAGCCGCGUGAGGGAAGAAGGUACAGCGUAUCGUAAACCUCUUUUGUCAGGGAACAAAGGCGGGGACUAGUCCCCGGAUGAGGGUACCUUAAGAAAAAGCAUCGGCUAACUCCGUGCCAGCAGCCGCGGUAAUACGGAGGAUGCGAGCGUUAUCCGGAUUUAUUGGGUUUAAAGGGUUCGCAGGCGGCCUUUUCAGUCAGCGGGAAAAGCCCGGGGCUCAACCCCGGCGAGCCGUUGAAACUGGCGGGCUGGAGUUGGAGAGAAGUACGCGGAAUGCGCGGUGUAGCGGUGAAAUGCUUAGAUAUCGCGCAGAACCCCGAUUGCGAAGGCAGCGUACCGGCUCCACACUGACGCUGAGGCACGAAAGCGUGGGUAUCGAACAGGAUUAGAUACCCUGGUAGUC
rnacentral:rRNA from 1 species